AAGGAACGCUGGCGGCAGGCUUAACACAUCCAAGUCGAGCGCCCCGCAAGGGGAGCGGCCGACGGGGGAGUAACGCGUGGGAAUCUACCCAUCCCUACGGAACAGCCCCGGGAAACUGGAAUUAAUACCGUAUACGCCCUACGGGGGAAAGAUUUAUCGGGGAUGGAUGAGCCCGCGUUGGAUUAGCUAGUUGGUGGGGUAAAGGCCUACCAAGGCGACGAUCCAUAGCUGGUCUGAGAGGAUGAUCAGCCACAUUGGGACUGAGACACGGCCCAAACUCCUACGGGAGGCAGCAGUGGGGAAUAUUGGACAAUGGGGGCAACCCUGAUCCAGCCAUGCCGCGUGAGUGAUGAAGGCCUUAGGGUUGUAAAGCUCUUUCACCGGGGAAGAUAAUGACGGUACCCGGAGAAGAAGCCCCGGCUAACUUCGUGCCAGCCGCCGCGGUAAGAC
rnacentral:rRNA from 1 species